UACAGAGGUCCCAAGCGUUGUUCGGAUUUACUGGGCGUAAAGGGUGCGUAGGUGGCGGGGUAAGUCUGGUGUGAAAGCUCCGAGCUCAACUCGGAAAAGCAUUGGAAACUAUCCCGCUGGAGGGUCGGAGGGGAGACUGGAAUUCUCGGUGUAGCAGUGAAAUGCGUAGAUAUCGAGAGGAACACCAGUGGCGAAGGCGGCUCACUGGCCCGGUACUGACGCUGAGAUACGAAAGCGUGGGGAGCAAACAGG
rnacentral:rRNA from 1 species